rnacentral:lncRNA from 1 species
GAAACGUGUGGCGUAUUAGGGAUCAUGGCUGAUUGUAUCCCCAGACCUUCCAGCUCUGGGAAGUUACUUAUGGCACAUAACAAAGGUAUAUAUCGAUUCUAAGAUUGUUUUAUGUUCAAUAUUUUAUUAGAGUUUCCUCUUCAUAUAAUUUUUUUUGGGAAUUCCAAAGUAAGCUGUUAGAUAGUGAACCUGCAAUGUCCUGCCCAGGUUCAUGGUUUCAGAUUGUGUCACUGUUUUGAAGGCUGUGCAGCGUUUAGGCAGCAAGCUAGUAGCAGUAGGUCAUUAGGUGAGGGCCUGGGGAAGCUAUGCCUACUCCUAAUUUGGCCUGUGUUCUCUCCUUCCUGUCUGCUGUGCUGUGAACAAGCCACCGCUUCAUGCUUUUGUGGUCAUAGAAGGUCAGAGCAUGCUGACAGAGCAAUUCCUGAGAUUCCAGGUAGCCCAGUCUGGAUAAGAGACUGAUGUACCAUAUUUGAAAGUUCCAACUUCUACUGCUCAGCCCAGGACCCAUACAAAAGGUAAUAGAAAAUUCUCAACAACCUGGGGAGAUCAAGAAGGCAUGAGCACUCUUUAUCAGAAAAUCACAGGGAGAAACUUCAGAGAUAAACUAAUAUCCUGGUCCCAAUAAUUAUUCUACAAAAGAAAGCUAAGAGACAC